GAUGAACGCUGGCGGCGUGCCUAAUACAUGCAAGUCGAGCGAACGGACGAGAAGCUUGCUUCUCUGAUGUUAGCGGCGGACGGGUGAGUAACACGUGGAUAACCUACCUAUAAGACUGGGAUAACUUCGGGAAACCGUAGCUAAUACCGGAUAAUAUUUUGAACCGCAUGGUUCAAAAGUGAAAGACGGUCUUGCUGUCACUUAUAGAUGGAUCCGCGCUGCAUUAGCUAGUUGGUAAGGUAACGGCUUACCAAGGCAACGAUGCAUAGCCGACCUGAGAGGGUGAUAGGCCACAAUGGAACUGAGACACGGUCCAGACGCCUACGGGAGGCAGCAGUAGGGAAUCUUCCGCAAUGGGCGAAAGCCUGACGGAGCAACGCCGAGUGAGUGAUGAAGGUCUUCGGAUCGUAAAACUCUGUUAUUAGGGAAGAACAUAUGUGUAAGUAACUGUGCACAUCUUGACGGUACCUAAUCAGAAAGCCACGGCUAACUACGUG
rnacentral:rRNA from 1 species